rnacentral:rRNA from 1 species
UACGUAGGUGGCGAGCGUUGUCCGGAUUUACUGGGCGUAAAGGGAGCGUAGGCGGACUUUUAAGUGAGAUGUGAAAUACCCGGGCUCAACUUGGGUGCUGCAUUUCAAACUGGAAGUCUAGAGUGCAGGAGAGGAGAAUGGAAUUCCUAGUGUAGCGGUGAAAUGCGUAGAGAUUAGGAAGAACACCAGUGGCGAAGGCGAUUCUCUGGACUGUAACUGACGCUGAGGCUCGAAAGCGUGGGGAGCAAAC